rnacentral:piRNA from 2 species
UGGUUUUGGAAGUUUCCACGGAAGCC